UUGUAUCUGAUGUUGUAGGGUACUCAAAAAUUAAACUAUAACACGGAAAAGUGGGUGAAAUGUUAGCUUUUAGCUAAAGCUAAGCGAGGAUUCUUAUUUCUCCCACAAUGCAUUCCAUGACGUCACAUGAGGCACUCGCUGACUGUUGGACGACAGACAGCCCCGCGGCCCGCCUACCAUUUUGAGGGAGAGUGAUACGAGGAGUUUAAGUUAGCUAGCUAGUGAAGCAGUGACACUGACAGUGACAGAUUUAUAAGUAAAUAUAGAUAGAUAGAUCUUCCGAAGCUGGGUGCAGUUUGUCAAGAUUAGGCGAGCAGAUUUUUCAGCUAAGUUAACGUUAGCUCUGUCGCCGCCUACUCGAGAAUAUGCAGCGCGCAUUUCAAAGAGGAGGAUAACCACUCAGGGGAUGCCAAGAUGGUCUUACUUCACUUGGAUUAAAGAGUGAGAGGAGUGCUAAAUUACUUCCAACCGCACUGCCGUCUGUGAACGCAAACCUCUCUGCUUGCCCUGUCCCGAGGUCGAGAGACACCGUCUGCCGCAAGCGAGAAAUUGCCACGGUUAUGCAACAUCAUUAAUGAAGGCCCUUCGGGAAAGCUACACCAAUUCACCUGCGGCUCUUCGAGAGGUUAGCGCCAGUUUGUCCCCAUCGCCCCAUCGCCACAUCCUUCAAACAGGUUCCUGAGGAGGCCGUCAGCCUCUACCUAGCCCGGCAGUCACGCUUCAAGAACCUAAUUUCACAUUAUUUUCUUUCCACAGACAAGUCCAAUGGUUUAGUUGUAUUUAUUUAUUUUAGUUGUUAGUUAUCUUCUUUCCUUCUGUCCCUGUCAUCUCAUUUAGUGGUGGUUUCCUGCAUUCUGCAUGUUUUGUUUUUUUCUUUGUGUGCUGUUUCUUUGGUUUUACUUUGCACAAAAUCAUUACUUUUUUUUCUUAGGCUAUUGAUUCCCGUGAUCUUGUUUAUAAAUUCCGAUUCAGCCAUUAGCCUACCUUCGUGAUCACGCAAAGCGGUCUGGAGAGGCGGUCUGUUCAGAAUUACAACCAACAUAAAAUAUAAGUGUGCAUGUACAAAUUUGCAGUAAUGUUCGGUAAAAAUAAACUUUAUUAACAUAAAAUGAAACCGGAGAGAUAGUUAAUGAUCCAUAACUGUUAACGGGAUUAAUUUCAGCAUGGCUAAUGUGCCCCUUCUUCCUACCCUAAUCAUGGACUAAACCAUAUCAGAAAACACAUACAAAUACAUGUAUUUGAUGUACAGUACACAUGUAUAUUUGAAUCACACAUAACUAACCUUAACCCAUAAACAUAAUAUAUUAAUUGUGUGUGUGUGUGUAUAUAUAUAUAUAUAUAUAUAUACACACACACACACACACACAAUUCAUUUAUUUAAAUGGGUUAGGGUUAUGUGUUUAUAUAUGCAUAGGCCUACAUACAUAUGUGAAUAUAUAUUAUAAAUAAUAUAUACUUCAGGUUACCAUAAGUUAGCUAACUUUAAUGAAGAGUUGGUCAUGUAAGCUAUAGCUUGCUGCAAUUAAUGCAUUAUCUUCCAAUAAGCAUUAACUAAAACUGGCUACAUAAAAUGUACUGACUAGAUUCACGAGAGGUCGGCUAAUGUGUGUAAAAGUAAAACAAUACAGUAAUUUCAUUAAUUUACCAGCUCCACGACACGCGUUAGUUCCUUAUUCCAGAGUUCCUAUGGCGGUCUAUGGGAGUGUCGCAACUCUCUCUCUCUAUGGCUCUCUAGACAACACUAUUACAGGCUAAAGAUUUUUUUGUAUAGAGUUGUUUACUUAAAACCUGUGUCUUUGUUCAGUUAUCUUUGUCCUUGUUCAGAAAAUGUUUAGUAACCAUUACAAGCAAUGCCAAUAAACUGUUUUAUUCUUAUAAAAA